ACUCAAUCGCAAGUACCGGAACAAAUCAUCGCCAACGUCUGUGAUAUAACAGGUUUACGUUUUAUACAAUAAAACAUAAAAUUUAAUGACAAUAAAAUAAAAUUAGGUGAAACGCUAAAUAACAACAGAAUAUUACCCUAUCCUUAUUUCGUAGGUAUUGUAACGAGAUCGGAAGACUUGGCAGGUGGCGUCUGACCUUUUUCGUCGUUUAUAUUAUUUUUAUGAACUCUCGCUCCGGGCCGAAACACAAUAAUUAUUCUUUAUAAUGUCUAUAAAAAAACGAAAUAAUAUUUCAACAUGACUAUACAAUAACAAAAUAAUUCGUCUU